rnacentral:rRNA from 1 species
AUUGAACGCUGGCGGCAUGCCUAACACAUGCAAGUCGAACGGCAGCACGGCAGUAGCAAUACUGUGGGUGGCGAGUGGCGGACGGGUGAGGAAUACGUCGGAAUCUGCCCAGUCGUGGGGGAUAACUAGCCGAAAGGUUAGCUAAUACCGCAUACGACCGAGAGGUGAAAGCGGGGGACCGCAAGGCCUCGCGCGAUUGGAUGAGCCGACGUCGGAUUAGCUAGUUGGUGGGGUAAAGGCCCACCAAGGCGACGAUCCGUAGCUGGUCUGAGAGGAUGAUCAGCCACACUGGAACUGAGACACGGUCCAGACUCCUACGGGAGGCAGCAGUGGGGAAUAUUGGACAAUGGGCGCAAGCCUGAUCCAGCAAUGCCGCGUGUGUGAAGAAGGCCUCGGUUGUAAGACGACUUUAUCUAGACGAAAGACGU